CGGAAUGAGUAGCGCGAAUGCAGUGAGAAUCUGCAUGGCCGAAAGCCUCAGGUUUUUGGAGGAAGGUUCGUCCGCUCCAAGUUAGUCGGGAGCUAAGGUGAGGCCGAAAGGCGUAGCCGAUGCACAGACGGUAGAGAUUCCGUCCCCACCGAAAGAUUUAAGCGCAGGGACACUUUUAGAAGGUCGGAGCCAGGUGUUGGUUCUGGUAGAGAUCGAGGGAAGAUUAGUACCGAAGUCCGGCUGGAUAAGAGGCGAGAAAAGCUGCGUGUAUAUCUAAGGUGCCCGUACCGCAAACCGACACAGGUAGGUAGGAAGAAGAUUCUAAGGCCAACGGGAGAAGGGUUGUUAAGGAACUCGGCAAAUUGACCCCGUAACUUCGGGAGAAGGGGUGCUCCAGAGAUGGAGCCGCAGAGAAUCGGCCCAAGCAACUGUUUACCAAAAACACAGGUUUGUGCUAAAUCGAAAGAUGACGUAUACGAGCUGACGCCUGCCCGGUGCUGGAAGGUUAAAAGGAGAUGUGCAAGCAUUGAAUUGAAGCCCCAGUGAACGGCGGCCGUAACUAUAACGGUCCUAAGGUAGCGAAAUUCCUUGUCAGGUAAGUUCUGACCCGCAUGAAAGGCGUAAUGAUUUGGGCACUGUCUCAACAGCCCGCCCGGCGAAAUUGUAGUACCGGUGAAGAUGCCGGUUACCCGCGACAAGACGGAAAGACCCCAUGGAGCUUUACUGUAGCCUAAUAUUGGGUUUCGGUGUUGCAUGCACAGGAUAGAUGGGACGCUGGGAAGUGAGUGCUUUGGCAUUCAUGGAGCGGCCGUUGGGAUACCAUCCUUGCGACAUUGGAAUUCUAACCUGCGCCUUUGAAUCAAGGCGGGGGACAUUGUUAGGUGGGCAGUUUGACUGGGGCGGUCGCCUCCUAAAGAGUAACGGAGGCGUUCAAAGGUUCGCUCAGCUUGAACGGAAAUCAAGCAAAAGAGUGCAAACGCAGAAGCGAGCCUAACUGCGAGACUGACGGGUCGAGCAGUAACGAAAGUUGGAGUUAGUGAUCCGGUGGUAUGUGAGUGGAAAUGCCAUCGCUCAACGGAUAAAAGUUACCCUGGGGAUAACAGGCUGAUCUCCCCCAAGAGUCCACAUCGACGGGGAGGUUUGGCACCUCGAUGUCGGCUCAUCGCAUCCUGGGGCUGUAUUCGGUCCCAAGGGUUUGGCUGUUCGCCAAUUAAAGCGGUACGCGAGCUGGGUUCAGAACGUCGUGAGACAGUUCGGUCCCUAUCUGUCGUGGGCGCAGGAUAUUUGAUGGGAGCUGUUCCUAGUACGAGAGGACCGGAGCGGACGUACCUCUGGCGCACCAGUUGUUCUGCCAAGAGCAUAGCUGGGCAACUAUGUACGGAUCGGAUAAACGCUGAAAGCAUCUAAGCGUGAAGCCGACCCAAAGAUAAGAUAUCCCAUUGUUUCAAACAAGUAAGACCCCUUGAAGACUACAAGGUUGAUAGGCACGAUGUGUAAGUGGAGUGAUCCAUUCAGCAAGCGUGUACUAAUAGGUCGAGGGCUUGACCAC
rnacentral:rRNA from 1 species